GAUGAAGAACGCAGCGAAAUGCGAUAAGUAAUGUGAAUUGCAGAAUUCAGUGAAUCAUCGAAUCUUUGAACGCACAUUGCGCCCGCCAGUAUUCUGGCGGGCAUGCCUGUUCGAGCGUCAUUUCAACCAUCAAGCCCCCGGCUUGUGUUGGGGACCUGCGGCUGCCGCAGGCCCUGAAAAGCAGUGGCGGGCUCGCUGUCACACCGAGCGUAGUAGCAUACAUCUCGCUCUGGGCGUGCUGCGGGUUCCGGCCGUAAAACCACCUUCAUAACCCAAGGUUGACCUCGGAUCAGGUAGGAAGACCCGCUGAACUUAAGCAUAUCAAUAAGCGGAGGA
rnacentral:misc_RNA from 1 species